AACAUGGCGAAUUCCAUGUAAGGGGACCCGUGGUGUAUCUAGAUAGAAAUAUCUUAUUCUAAAGUAAUAAAACAUAACGCUUCAUUAUGUAAGGUCUAUAUACACCUCUGAAGACAUAGUUAUGUGUAUUAUAUUGCAUUUCUGUCAUAAGAUCCUCCAAAAAAUUACACAUGGGACCUUUAAUGAAUAAUACAAAUAAUAAACAUAUUAUAUUGCUACUAUCCCUUUAAAGGCUAAAUUCUCUUUUCUUACCCCACGGUUGACUCUUUGCAGUCCCUAAACCACUAAGCAGUCUCUGAGAUGAACACACUAAGAUUCGCAAGAUUUGGCAACAGAGAUCAUAAUUCGCCUCUUCAGGCACCUUGACGCAUCACAGCAGAUUAUUUCCUGUCAUGUUUGUUGACAGCUUCCUGCUGCUAGUUUUGCAGCUUCCUUUUGAUGUUACAAAAUCCCUAAUCUGCUGAAGUCACUGAACCAGACCGCCUUGAUCCGAAGACGGAACGCCCAAAAGCCUCCCGUGUUUGCGAAAUAUGCUUCCAAUAGCUUAAAACAAGUGAUUUUGGCUCCUGUUUGGCUUUGAUAGCCAGCAUAAUAGAAGAAAUGUCUUGAUUUGUGAUUUUCUUGCUGGUGUAGUCGUUUUCCAGGCGUCUGACUGACACUCGCGAGCAGACAAGCAUUAUGAACGCGGGGGGAACGUUCGAACCUGCCUUUGUUCAAUUUCACACUCUAUAUGAAAUGUCACGUCUGGGAUCUCGCCCGAACGAAACACGAGAAAAAACAACGGGGCACAACGCUCGAAUGAUUCUAGGCGUCGAUACGAAACACAAGCUUUGAUCUGCCCUUGCGUGCAGACGGUUCACGUAUCAGGAUUUAGAAGUUCAAUGUAUCUCAGGUAUAUUUUUGUCUGAACGCCAUUGAAGUAAUUUACUCAUCAGUGUCUUGUAAUGGAGAGUUUUUGAUCUUCUGACCUCCAGAAUUAAUGUCACUCAAUAAGGUCAAAGCUGCGAAAGCUGUGCUGUCUGUUUGUUUUAUCUUCGUUUACCUCUGUUUUUUAUGUUUUUUUGCUCUCUCAAGCCAGGACAGGACCCAUCCAUCAUGCCCGAUUGGUUUGUUUGGAUGAGAAAUGAAACAGCUGUGCAGGCAGUUAUAAGCACAUUAAACAUCUCUGGCAUUAGCCUAACUGAGAGAGUGACCUUCCACGGCGGGCACCAUUGCAUCUUUCUCUACAGCAGAAGCCAUGGCAUUACAGAUAAAAUAGCCAACUUGAUAAACAUGACUAUUUUCACAAAAGAACCACUAGAGAACCAUAAAACAACUUAAUAUGACAUGAGAUCAUGGCAAUUUUUGGCUUGUUGUAUUGGAAAGAGUGGUAAGAUGGUUUGCGACUAUUAAAGCUGCAAUCUGUAACUUUUUUGGUUAGAAACUAAACAAAAAUCAGUUAUUGAGCAAGUACAUUAAACACAAGUUUUCAAAACUGUCACCUUGCGUUUAACCUGAUUUCCAACAUUAAGCUUAUAAAAUGCAUAAAGUAUACAUAAAGUAACCUGCAGUUUUUUAUUUUAAACAGAUGGCGAUAGAGAGGCAAAAAAUUUAUCAAUUACAGCUUUAAAGGAAUUGAAAAUACAUGCUAACAAUUUAUAUGUUGCUUGAAAAUAUGUAUCAACUUCUGAAUGGUUGUUUUUAUCUGCACAAUUCUGUUGUUACAGUAUACAAUAGCAACAACCAGCAGGAGCAAGCUGAACCCCCGCUGACCAUCCGAACUCCAAAUGAAAAGGCUACAGGUUGCCUUUGGACGAGUUGACGUGAGAAGUCUUAGAUCAAUGUUGCCACCCUGUGUCGCUUACGAGGUCUGCUGGUGACAAGAAGGAAAGCUAAUGCUUAUGUUAUAUAGGCGGACGACACCCCGGAGGUUACGAGAACGCCAUAUGCUCACGGGCCUGAAUGGAUUGCUGAUUGGUAUCUUUGAUCCGUGAACCGAAGUCCAGCCUUCUGAUGAACCAUUGAUCAAACGGGAGGAUGAGAGGAAGAGGCGAUGAGACUGAGGAAGAGCUGACACCGGGAGGAGGAAGAGGUCGGCUCUGGCUUUCAGCUUCAGUCAACACUGUUGACACUUGUAGCCGUGACAGGAAGUUGAAGUCGGAGGUUUACACAGUGAAGGGUGUUUUGGCAUUGCAAUUGCACGUCUCAUCUACCUACAAGCAUCACCCCAGUUCUCUGAGUGACAUCUCCCACACAUCCGCUCCGUUCACCUUGCAAGGCUGAUUCAGGGAGGAGAUCUGUGAGCAUCAUAAGGAAGAAAAGAAAAGCAAACAACAGACACAAAAUAACUUAAGGAUGUGCAAUACUUUUAACUGUCGGUUCUGUGGCUCGGGGCUGUGUGAACGUUUAUCAGUUCUUUUUAAUUUGGGAAAGCUUUCAACAGAACAUCAAGAGCAGGACUUCAUAUAAUGUUAUUAGGAGAAACUGUUUUCAUUGUUUUCAAUGAGGUUUCCAGGCAUGAUUUGCAUAAGAUUGCAGAUUUAAUGUGACGGAAUCGCGUAUGAAACAAUGAGGAAAUGAAGAAAAUUAGUUAGGACUUAAUUUGAUCCAUUGGAAAUGUAUUGGAUCAUAAAUAGUGGUGAAAAAAAUAAAGCCAUGUGCUUGGAAGGGAAGGGCAGGAGAAAUAAGAGGGCUUUGUGACGUCGACAAAAAUAAAAAAAAACUAAAGAAAACUUUUUUUGCUUUGAAACUAAAUCCAGUGAUCAUUGACAAUGCAAGACCAAUUUGUUUAUUUAGAAGGUAAACUUUACAUUUUGAUUUCCUGUUGACUUUAAAAAUAAACUUUAACCACCUAUCUCUGCCCAACACUUUCCUGUCCGCUCUCUACUGUC